rnacentral:tRNA from 1 species
UGAGGAUAUAGCUCAGUUGGUAGAGUGCUUGCCUCUCACGCACAAGGCCCUGGGUUUAAUGCCCAGCACCACAA